rnacentral:misc_RNA from 1 species
CUUGGUCAUAGGAAGUAAAAGUCGUAACAAGGUAACCGUAGGUGAACCUGCGGUUGGAUCAUUAUCACGUUAUCCACGUUAUCAACCAACGCGAACCCCUCCGGCUUACUAGACCUCACAGUCGAAAUUCGCCUUUUCUCAGAAGUGAAUGGAAAAAAGAAUUUUCGAUUUAUUUCGAUUUUUUUUUCUUCCAACUCAUUUUUCUGAGGAUAAAACUCUUGAUUAACUAUCAACACCCCUUUUAUACUUUAUGUACUGAACUGUUUCUUCCUCUUACUUCGGUUGGAGAAGAAAACAAAAUACGAAACAAAGAACAACUCUUAGCAACGGAUAUCUUGGUUCUC